rnacentral:rRNA from 1 species
GAUGAACGCUGGCGGCGUGCCUAAUACAUGCAAGUCGAGCGAACUGAUCAGAAGCUUGCUUUUCUGAUGUUAUCGGCGGACGGGUGCGUAACUCGUGGAUAACCUACCUUUAAGACAGGGAUACCUUCGGGAAACCGUAGCUAAUACCCGAUAAUAUUUUGCACCGCAUUGUUCACACGUAAAAUACGGUCUUUCUUUCGCUUAUAGCUCGCUCCGCCCUGCAUUAUCUAGUUGGUAAGGUAACGGCUUACCAAGGCUACGAUGCAUAACCGACCUGAACGGGUGGUCGGCCACACGGGAAGUGAGAAAGGGCAGAGACACCUACGGGAGGAAGCAGUAGGGAAUCUUACGCGAGGGGGGAGAGCCUAACGGAGCAAAGCCGCGGGAGUGAUGAAGGAGUAAGGAUCGGAAAACUAUGUUAGCAGGGAAGAAGAAAUGUGUAAGUAACUGGGAACAUAAUGACGGUACCUAAACAGAAAGCCACGGCUAACUACGUG